rnacentral:lncRNA from 1 species
AAAGAUACCAGGUGGAAACAACAAUGAAGAUGAGGAAGAUGUGGAAGAUAUCAAUGUUGGGGAAGAUGAUAUGAUGGAUGAUGUGUUGGGUGUUGAUGAUAAUAAUGGUAGGAGGGGAGAUGAAACAGCGAAAGCAGAGCCCGAUAACACUAGUCCAGUUCCUGAUAAUAAUGUUGAUCAGCUUUGAACCUUAGGCCGUAGGUCAGGUCAAUCUUUACUAGUAGGUCUUUUCUUUUUGGUUGUUUUAGCAUUCAUUUUGG